rnacentral:rRNA from 1 species
UACGGAGGAUGCGAGCGUUAUCCGGAUUUAUUGGGUUUAAAGGGUGCGUAGGCGGUAUGGUAAGUCAGCGGUAAAAGCCCGGGGCUCAACCCCGGCGAGCCGUUGAAACUGCCGUGCUAGAGAGGAAGAGAAGUAGGCGGAAUGCGCAGUGUAGCGGUGAAAUGCUUAGAUAUAACUUAGAACUCCGAUAGCGAAGGCAGCUUACCAGACUGCGACUGACGCUGAAGCACGAGAGCGUGGGUAGCGAACAGG